rnacentral:rRNA from 1 species
UGAGGCAGGCGGAAUUCGUGGUGUAGCGGUGAAAUGCUUAGAUAUCACGAAGAACUCCGAUUGCGAAGGCAGCCUGCUAAGCUGCAACUGACAUUGAGGCUCGAAAGUGUGGGUAUCAAACAGGAUUAGAUACCCUGGUAGUCCACACGGUAAACGAUGAAUACUCGCUGUUUGCGAUAUACGGCAAGCGGCCAAGCGAAAGCGUUAAGUAUUCCACCUGGGGAGUACGCCGGCAACGGUGAAACUCAAAGGAAUUGACGGGGGCCCGCACAAGCGGAGGAACAUGUGGUUUAAUUCGAUGAUACGCGAGGAACCUUACCCGGGCUUAAAUUGCAGAUGAAUUACGGUGAAAGCCGUAGGCCGCAAGGCAUCUGUGAAGGUGCUGCAUGGUUGUCGUCAGCUCGUGCCGUGAGGUGUCGGCUUAAGUGCCAUAACGAGCGCAACCCUUGUUGUCAGUUACUAACAGGUUCCGCUGAGGACUCUGACAAGACUGCCAUCGUAAGAUGUGAGGAAGGUGGGGAUGACGUCAAAUCAGCACGGCCCUUACGUCCGGGGCUACACACGUGUUACAAUGGGGGGUACAGAGGGCCGCUACCACGCGAGUGGAUGCCAAUCCCCAAAACCUCUCUCAGUUCGGACUGGAGUCUGCAACCCGACUCCACGAAGCUGGAUUCGCUAGUAAUCGCGCAUCAGCCACGGCGCGGUGAAUACGUUCCCGGGCCUUGUACACACCGCCCGUCAAGCCAUGGGAGCCGGGGGUACCUGAAGUGCGUAACCGCGAGGAGCGCCCUAGGGUAAA